rnacentral:rRNA from 1 species
AUAUGAUUCGUUGGAAUUCCUUUACGGAGAGAAAACGUCAUAUUCACGGCAAAGUUUUUUCAUUUUUUGAAAAAAUUCGGUUCUCUCAUUACGCUCCUUAAAAAUCGCAGAGUAUCUAUUUAUCAAAGAUUCUUCCAACACGUCGGCGUACUCAAAACCGCCUCAGGUUUCCAAGGUGAACAGCCUCUAGUGCAUAGAAGAAUGUGGGUAAAGGAAUUCGGCAAAAUAGAUUCGUAACUUUGGGAAAAGAAUUGGCUCUGAAGGAUGGGUAUAUGGGGAAUGUUUUAGCCUUGUUGAUUUUUUAUGAGAGAUGGGGUCGCAAGAUUUCGUUUCUUAUUUUGAAUCUAUAAUAACAAUUCAUUCUAAUCAACUAUAUACAACAAACAUCUAAUUCAGAACUGGUACGAACAAGGAGAAUCCGACUGUUUAAUUAAAACAAAGCAUUGUGACGGUUCGUAAGAAUGUAGACACAAUGUGAUUUCUGCCCAGUGCUCUGAAUGUUAACGUGAAGGAAUUCAAACAAGCGCGGGUAAACGGCGGGAGUAACUAUGACUCUCUUAAGGUAGCCAAAUGCCUCGUCAUCUAAUUGUGACGCGCACGAAUGGAUUAAUGAGAUUCUCACUGUCUCUACCCACCAUCUAGCGAAACCAUAGCCAAGGGAACGGGCUUGGAAAAGAAAGCGGGGAAAGAAGACCCUGUUGAGCUUGACUCUAGUCUGCUUCUGUGAAAAGACUUUGGAGGUGUAGCGUAAGGAGGAGCUUUACGGCGAACUUGAAACACUCCUACUUCGAACGUCUUUUUACUUCGGGUGUAAAAUGAUAUUGAAAGGAUGAAAAUUCUUUUAUUAUUUGAAUUCAUUGUAUUUUUAGUAAUACAACAAUCAAUCACCCAACAAAAGCAGGUGGGGAGUUUGACUGGGGCGGUACAUCUGCGAAAAAAUAGCGCAGGUGAACCAAGGCGGGCUCAGUGAGAAGAGAAAUCUCACGUAGAGCUAAAGGGCAAAAGCCCGCUUGAUUUAGUCUUUCAGUGUGAGAACAAACGAGGAAACUGUGUCCUAUCGAUCCUUUAUGUUUUGCGGAGAACCUCCGCCUAGAGGUGCCAGAAAAGUUACCACAGGGAUAACUGGCUUGUGGCUGCCAAGCGUCCAAAGCGACGUAGCUUUUUGAUCCUUCGAUGUCGGCUCUUCUCAUCAUUCCGUUGCAGAAGGCGGAAAGUGUCAGAUUGUUCACCUGUAAAAGAGGAACGUGAGCUGGGUUUAGACCGUCGUGAGACAGGUUAGUUUUACCCUACUUUCAGAUUGAUUUCUUGACUCGACACGGAGGUAGUACGAUAGGAACUGUCCGUGGGCGCAUUUGGUUCGUGCUUUCGUUGAACAACGAGUGAGCAGAUGCUACGCGCUCUUUUGAUAAAAGCUGAAGGCCUCUAAAGUUUGAAUCAGACGAGAACAUGGAAGUCUAUAUUGCUUUUGAUUUUAUCCAGAUGCAUGAAUAUUUUCUUAUAUAUGCUGUGUGGAGUUAUGAAUUUGCUUUUUAAUCAGAGUAAAUUCAUAAUUCGUAUUACAUUUUGGAAGUUAGCAAUCCGCAGUGUUGAGGAGACGACUCAUUGU